rnacentral:rRNA from 1 species
UGCGUAGGCUGUGCAGUAAGUCGGGUGUGAAAUCCCUCGGCUUAACCGAGGAAUUGCGCCCGAAACUGCUGUACUAGAGGGAGACAGGGGUAAGCGGAACUGAUGGUGGAGCGGUGAAAUGCGUUGAUAUCAUCAGGAACACCGGUGGCGAAGGCGGCUUACUGGGUCUCUUCUGACGCUGAGGCACGAAAGCUAGGGUAGCGAACG